rnacentral:rRNA from 1 species
UUGACCUCAAAUCGGGUGAGACUACCCGCUGAACUUAAGCAUAUCAAUAAGCGGAGGAAAAGAAACUAACAAGGAUUCCCCUAGUAACUGCGAGUGAAGCGGGAAAAGCUCAAAUUUAAAAUCUGGCGGUCUUUGGCCGUCCGAGUUGUAAUUUAGAGAAGCGUCUUCCGCGCCGGACCGUGCACAAGUCUCCUG